rnacentral:SRP_RNA from 1 species
GCUGGGCGUGGUGGCGGGUGCCUGUAAUCCCAGCUACUUAGGAGGCUGAGGCAGGAGAAUUGCUUGAACUCGGGAGACAGAGGUUGCAGUGGGCCAAGAUCACGCCACUGCACUCCAGCCUGGGUGACAGAGCAAGACUCUGUCUCGA